UUUGCGUGACAGAACGGCAGGAUGAGAACCUGCAGCAGGUUCGGGCCGAACGCAGUGAGACAACGUUGCGACAGCAACGGCCCGCAGGGUGAGGCGCAGCCGAAUCAUCCUGCACGACCCACCA
rnacentral:sRNA from 7 species